rnacentral:rRNA from 1 species
GUUAAGCGACUAAGCGUACACGGUGGAUGCCUAGGCAGUCAGAGGCGAUGAAGGGCGUGCUAAUCUGCGAAAAGCGUCGGUAAGGUGAUAUGAACCGUUACAACCGACGAUACCCGAAUGGGGAAACCCAGUGCAAUUCGUUGCACUAUUGCAUGGUGAAUACAUAGCCAUGCAAGGCGAACCGGGGGAACUGAAACAUCUAAGUACCCCGAGGAAAAGAAAUCAACCGAGAUUCCCCUAGUAGCGGCGAGCGAACGGGGAAGAGCCCAGAGUCUGAAUCAGUUUGUGUGUUAGUGGAAGCGUCUGGAAAGUCGCACGGUACAGGGUGAUAGUCCCGUACACAAAAACACACUUGCUGUGAACUCGAUGAGUAGGGCGGGACACGUGACAUCCUGUCUGAAUAUGGGGGGACCAUCCUCCAAGGCUAAAUACUCCUGACUGACCGAUAGUGAACCAGUACCGUGAGGGAAAGGCGAAAAGAACCCCGGCGAGGGGAGUGAAAUAGAACCUGAAACCGUGUACGUACAAGCAGUGGGAGCACCUUCGUGGUGUGACUGCGUACCUUUUGUAUAAUGGGUCAGCGACUUAUAUUUUGUAGCAAGGUUAACCGAAUAGGGGAGCCGUAGGGAAACCGAGUCUUAACUGGGCGUCUAGUUGCAAGGUAUAGACCCGAAACCCGGUGAUCUAGCCAUGGGCAGGUUGAAGGUUGGGUAACACUAACUGGAGGACCGAACCGACUAAUGUUGAAAAAUUAGCGGAUGACUUGUGGCUGGGGGUGAAAGGCCAAUCAAACCGGGAGAUAGCUGGUUCUCCCCGAAAGCUAUUUAGGUAGCGCCUCGUGAACUCAUCUUCGGGGGUAGAGCACUGUUUCGGCUAGGGGGUCAUCCCGACUUACCAAACCGAUGCAAACUCCGAAUACCGAAGAAUGUUAUCACGGGAGACACACGGCGGGUGCUAACGUCCGUCGUGAAGAGGGAAACAACCCAGACCGCCAGCUAAGGUCCCAAAGUCAUGGUUAAGUGGGAAACGAUGUGGGAAGGCAUAGACAGCCAGGAUGUUGGCUUAGAAGCAGCCAUCAUUUAAAGAAAGCGUAAUAGCUCACUGGUCGAGUCGGCCUGCGCGGAAGAUGUAACGGGGCUAAACCAUGCACCGAAGCUGCGGCAGCGACACUUAGGUGUUGUUGGGUAGGGGAGCGUUCUGUAAGCCGUUGAAGGUGACCUGUGAGGGUUGCUGGAGGUAUCAGAAGUGCGAAUGCUGACAUAAGUAACGAUAAUGCGGGUGAAAAACCCGCACGCCGGAAGACCAAGGGUUCCUGUCCAACGUUAAUCGGGGCAGGGUGAGUCGACCCCUAAGGCGAGGCUGAAAAGCGUAGUCGAUGGGAAACAGGUUAAUAUUCCUGUACUUGGUGUUACUGCGAAGGGGGGACGGAGAAGGCUAGGCUAGCCGGGCGACGGUUGUCCCGGUUUAAGCAUGUAGGCGGAGUGACUUGGUAAAUCCGGUUGCUUAUCAACGCUGAGGUGUGAUGACGAGCCACUACGGUGGUGAAGUAGUUGAUGCCAAGCUUCCAGGAAAAGCCUCUAAGCAUCAGGUAACAUUAAAUCGUACCCCAAACCGACACAGGUGGUCAGGUAGAGAAUACUCAGGCGCUUGAGAGAACUCGGGUGAAGGAACUAGGCAAAAUGGUGCCGUAACUUCGGGAGAAGGCACGCUGGCAUUAGGUAAAGAGACUUGCUCUCGGAGCUGAAGCCAGUCGCAGAUACCAGCUGGCUGCAACUGUUUAAUAAAAACACAGCACUGUGCAAACACGAAAGUGGACGUAUACGGUGUGACGCCUGCCCGGUGCUGGAAGGUUAAUUGAUGGGGUCAGCCUUACGGCGAAGCUCUUGAUCGAAGCCCCAGUAAACGGCGGCCGUAACUAUAACGGUCCUAAGGUAGCGAAAUUCCUUGUCGGGUAAGUUCCGACCUGCACGAAUGGCGUAAUGAUGGCCAGGCUGUCUCCACCCGAGACUCAGUGAAAUUGAACUCGCUGUGAAGAUGCAGUGUACCCGCGGCAAGACGGAAAGACCCCGUGAACCUUUACUAUAGCUUGACACUGAACAUUGAGCCUUGAUGUGUAGGAUAGGUGGGAGGCAUUGAAGUGUGGACGCCAGUCUGCAUGGAGCCAACCUUGAAAUACCACCCUUUAAUGUUUGAUGUUCUAACUCGGCCCCGUGAUCCGGGGUGAGGACAGUGUCUGGUGGGUAGUUUGACUGGGGCGGUCUCCUCCCAAAGAGUAACGGAGGAGCACGAAGGUUAGCUAAUCACGGUCGGACAUCGUGAGGUUAGUGCAAAGGCAUAAGCUAGCUUGACUGCGAGAGUGACGGCUCGAGCAGGUACGAAAGUAGGUCUUAGUGAUCCGGUGGUUCUGAAUGGAAGGGCCAUCGCUCAACGGAUAAAAGGUACUCCGGGGAUAACAGGCUGAUACCGCCCAAGAGUUCAUAUCGACGGCGGUGUUUGGCACCUCGAUGUCGGCUCAUCACAUCCUGGGGCUGAAGUAGGUCCCAAGGGUAUGGCUGUUCGCCAUUUAAAGUGGUACGCGAGCUGGGUUUAGAACGUCGUGAGACAGUUCGGUCCCUAUCUGCCGUGGGCGUUGGAAGAUUGAGAGGGGCUGCUCCUAGUACGAGAGGACCGGAGUGGACGAAUCACUGGUGUUCGGGUUGUCAUGCCAAUGGCAUUGCCCGGUAGCUAAAUUCGGAAGAGAUAACCGCUGAAAGCAUCUAAGCGGGAAACUUGCCUCGAGAUGAGUCUUCCCUGGGGCUUUAAGCUCCCUGAAGGAACGUUAAAGACUAUGACGUUGAUAGGCUGGGUGUGUAAGUGCAGCGAUGCAUUGAGCUAACCAGUACUAAUGAUCCGUGAGGCUUAACC